UUGCCCACUCGAGGCUGUGUGUGUCUUGACUGGCCGUUAACGAAGGGUAGAAAAAGUCUCCCUGUAAACCUGGGCCAGGAGCUCCACUCCUGCCCCUGGACCUGUUGGGAGGAACACUU
rnacentral:snoRNA from 1 species